AUUGAACGCUGGCGGCAGGCUUAACACAUGCAAGUCGAGCGGGGUGAUGGUGCUUGCACUAUCACUUAGCGGCGGACGGGUGAGUAAUGCCUAGGAAUCUGCCUAUUAGUGGGGGACAACAUCUCGAAAGGGAUGCUAAUACCGCAUACGUCCUACGGGAGAAAGCAGGGGAUCACUUGUGACCUUGCGCUAAUAGAUGAGCCUAAGUCGGAUUAGCUAGUUGGUGGGGUAAAGGCCUACCAAGGCGACGAUCUGUAGCGGGUCUGAGAGGAGGAUCCGCCACACUGGGACUGAGACACGGCCCAGACUCCUACGGGAGGCAGCAGUGGGGAAUAUUGGACAAUGGGGGGAACCCUGAUCCAGCCAUGCCGCGUGUGUGAAGAAGGCCUUAUGGUUGUAAAGCACUUUAAGCGAGGAGGAGGCUUACCUAGUUAAUACCUGGGAUAAGUGGACGUUACUCGCAGAAUAAGCACCGGCUAACUCUGUGCCAGCCGCCGCCGUAA
rnacentral:rRNA from 1 species